rnacentral:rRNA from 1 species
CACGUAGGGCGCAAGCGUUUGUCCGGAAUUAUUGGGCGUAAAGAGCUCGUAGGCGGUCUGUUGCGUCCGCUGUGAAAACUCGGGGCUUAACCCCGAGCCUGCAGUGGAUACGGGCAGACUAGAGGUAGGUAGGGGGAGAAUGGAAUUCCCGGUGUAGCGGUGAAAUGCGCAGAUAUCGGGAGGAACACCGGUGGCGAAGGCGGUCUCUGGGCCUUACCUGACGCUGAGGAGCGAAAGCGUGGGGAGCGAACAGG